UACGGAGGGUGCAAACGUUGCUCGGAAUCAUUGGGCGUAAAGCGCACGUAGGCGGUUCGCUAUGUCGGAUGUGAAAGCCCUCGGCUUAACCGAGGAAGGGCAUCCGAAACUGGCGGGCUUGAGUACGGAAGAGGGUCUCGGAAUUCCCGGUGUAGAGGUGAAAUUCGUAGAUAUCGGGAGGAACACCAGUGGCGAAGGCGGAGACCUGGGCCGAUACUGACGCUGAGGUGCGAAAGCGUGGGGAGCAAACAGG
rnacentral:rRNA from 1 species